AACGAACGCUGGCGGCAUGCCUAACACAUGCGAGUCGAACGAGACCUUCGGGUCUAGUGGCGCACGGGUGCGUAACGCGUGGGAACCUGCCCUUAGGUUCGGAAUAACUCCCCGAAAGGGGUGCUAAUACCGGAUAAUGUCUUCGGACCAAAGAUUUAUCGCCUUUGGAUGGGCCCGCGUUGGAUUAGCUAGUUGGUAGGGUAAAAGCCUACCAAGGCGACGAUCCAUAGCUGGUCUGAGAGGAUGAUCAGCCACACUGGGACUGAGACACGGCCCAGACUCCUACGGGAGGCAGCAGUGGGGAAUAUUGGACAAUGGGCGAAAGGCUGAUCCAGCAAUGCCGCGUGAGUGAUGAAGGCCUUAGGGUUGUAAAGCUCUUUUACCCGGGAUGAUAAUGACAGUACCGGGAGAAUAGGCUCCGGCUAACUCCGUG
rnacentral:rRNA from 1 species